ensembl:misc_RNA
UUGGGAGCCCUAGAAUCCAAAGUCCUCUUUUUAUCCACAGAACUGGUGUAGCGCAGGCAGUGGCAGUGCAAACUGUCCAUGCACCAAUUUGCCAUUGAAACUCAAGUUUCAUAUGAAAGGCUGUGAGUGGAGUCCAGUCUCCAUUGUACGUUGAAUCCUUGGUUUCU